GGUUAAGUGAAUAAGGGCGCACGGUGGAUGCCUUGGCACUAGGAGCCGAUGAAGGACGGGACUAACACCGAUAUGCUUUGGGGAGCUGUACGUAAGCUAUGAUCCAGAGAUUUCCGAAUGGGGAAACCCAACAUCUUUUAUAGGAUGUUACGUUUGCGUGAAUACAUAGCGCAUUCGAGGUAGACGCAGAGAACUGAAACAUCUAAGUACCUGCAGGAAGAGAAAGAAAAUUCGAUUCCCUGAGUAGCGGCGAGCGAAACGGGAAAAGCCCAAACCAAUGAGCUUGCUCAUUGGGGUUGUAGGACUCCAAUAUGGUAGUUCUUUCAGAUAAUCGAAUGACUUGGAAAAGUCAGUCAAAGAGGGUAAAAACCCCGUAGAUGAAAUUUGGAAGGCACCUAGGAGGAUCCUGAGUACGGCGGAACACGAGGAAUUCCGUCGGAAUCCGGGAGGACCAUCUCCCAAGGCUAAAUACUCCCUAGUGACCGAUAGUGAACCAGUACCGUGAGGGAAAGGUGAAAAGCACCCCGGAAGGGGAGUGAAAUAGAACCUGAAACCGUGUGCCUACAACAAGUCAAAGCCCGUUAAUGGGUGAUGGCGUGCCUUUUGUAGAAUGAACCGGCGAGUUACGAUUGCAUGCGAGGUUAAGUCGAAGAGACGGAGCCGCAGCGAAAGCGAGUCUGAAUAGGGCGUUUGAGUAUGUAGUCGUAGACCCGAAACCAUGUGAUCUACCCAUGUCCAGGUUGAAGGUGCGGUAAAACGCACUGGAGGACCGAACCCACGUACGUUGAAAAGUGCGGGGAUGAGGUGUGGGUAGCGGAGAAAUUCCAAACGAACUUGGAGAUAGCUGGUUCUCUCCGAAAUAGCUUUAGGGCUAGCCUCGGAUUUGAGAAUGAUGGAGGUAGAGCACUGUUUGGACUAGGGGCCCAUCUCGGGUUACCGAAUUCAGAUAAACUCCGAAUGCCAUUCAUUCAUAUCCGGGAGUCAGACUGUGAGUGAUAAGAUCCAUAGUCGAAAGGGAAACAGCCCAGACCACCAGCUAAGGUCCCAAAAUAUAUGUUAAGUGGAAAAGGAUGUGGGGUUGCACAGACAACUAGGAUGUUGGCUCAGAAGCAGCCACCAUUUAAAGAGUGCGUAAUAGCUCACUAGUCGAGUGACCCUGCGCCGAAAAUGUACCGGGGCUAAACAUAUUACCGAAGCUGUGGAGUACACCAUUAGGUGUAUUGGUAGGAGAGCGUUCUAAGGGCGUUGAAGGCAGAUCGUGAGGACUGCUGGAGCGCUUAGAAGUGAGAAUGCCGGUAUGAGUAGCGAAAGACAGGUGAGAAUCCUGUCCACCGAAUGACUAAGGUUUCCUGGGGAAGGCUCGUCCGCCCAGGGUUAGUCGGGACCUAAGCCGAGGCCGACAGGCGUAGGCGAUGGACAACAGGUUGAUAUUCCUGUACUCGUUGUUUUUGUUUGAGCAAUGGAGGGACGCAGGAGGCUAAGGAAUGCAGACGAUUGGAAAUGUCUGUCCAAGCAGUAAGUCUUGAUAGGAGUCAAAUGCUUCUGUCUACACGGAUAAGCUGUGAUGGGGAGGGAAAUAAUAGUACCGAAGUUCCUGAUGUCACACUGCCAAGAAAAGCUUCUAGUGAGAAAACAAUGACCCGUACCGCAAACCGACACAGGUAGUCGAGGAGAGAAUCCUAAGGUGAGCGAGAGAACUCUCGUUAAGGAACUCGGCAAAAUGACCCCGUAACUUCGGGAGAAGGGGUGCUGAUCUUU
rfam:Enterococcus durans ATCC 6056 genomic scaffold acyDB-supercont2.2, whole genome shotgun sequence.